rnacentral:rRNA from 1 species
CGUAGGUGGCAAGCGUUGUCCGGAUUUAUUGGGCGUAAAGCGAGCGCAGGCGGUUCCUUAAGUCUGAUGUGAAAGCCCCCGGCUCAACCGGGGAGGGUCAUUGGAAACUGGGGAACUUGAGUGCAGAAGAGGAGAGUGGAAUUCCAUGUGUAGCGGUGAAAUGCGUAGAUAUAUGGAGGAACACCAGUGGCGAAGGCGACUCUCUGGUCUGUAACUGACGCUGAGGCUCGAAAGCGUGGGGUAGCAAACAGGAUU